rnacentral:misc_RNA from 1 species
ACCAAGCCGUAGCCCUGGCUU